GUGAAGGCGAUGCUUAAUGACAGUCGUGGUGUCCUAGGUGAAGACGAUGCUUAAUGGCCAGCGUAGACAGUCGCCUGGCUCUUCUAGGAUACCACGACUGUCAUUAAGCAUCAUCUUCAC
rfam:Triticum aestivum genome assembly, contig: Triticum_aestivum_CS42_TGACv1_scaffold_434059_5DL